AUAUAUGUGUGUGUGUGUGUGUGUGUGUGUGUGUGUACACACACACACACACACACACACACACUGCAAAAUGAAUUU
rnacentral:miRNA from 1 species